AUGCCGGCGAAGCGGCCGCUGGAGGGCGGCGGCGGAGGGGACUCCCCGUCGCCGGCGCGUUCGCCAGCGCUGAAGAAGAGGUGUCGCUCCUUCGACCUAGAGAUCAGGGGAUUCAGGCAUCUGGAGGAGAUGGUCACCAACUGCGUGCAGAGGGUGGAGGCUGCGGUUGAGUCCGUGAUUGAGUCUGCCAUCAGCCGGAUACCAGAAGUGGUGACUAAAGCAAUUACAUGCUACUUAAGCCGUGCUCCUAGUUUGUGCAAACCACUGGUUGACCAGAACCAGCCUCCAAGAUACAAGCUUAGGUUCCUGAAUGGCUUGAGUAAUGAAAUUUUCACAAAGAAGGGAAUCUGCACAGCAAAUGGUGAUCCUCUCAAGAUAUGCCUGGAGGAGAACAACCAACAAGAGAACAAUUCUUGUCGCCUUCUUUCUGCCAAGAUCAAAAUUGUUGUUCUUGAUGGCGACUUCAACAUAGAUAACAAAGAUUGCUGGACAUUAGAGGAUUUCAGCAGACAUAUCGUUCGUCCACGGGACAAGGUUGGGGCAGUGCUGACGGGGGAGCUGGAGCUUAGCCUGAAGGAUGGCAAGGCUGAUCUCCGUGAUGCUACUUUUAUUGAUAACUCCAAGUUCAUGAGGAGUGGCAAGUUCAGGCUUGGGGUAAUGGUUGUUGAUGAGCUUGGUGAACGGAUCCUGGAAGGGGUAACUGAACCUUUCACAGUAAAGGAUCGUCGCGGAGAAGGAUCCCGAAAGCAUGUCAUUCCAUCACUGGAUGAUGAUGUUUGGCGCCUGCAGAAAAUUUCGAAGGAUGGUGUCUUCCAUGAGGCACUCAAAGGGAGUGGCAUCUUUUCUGUGAAGGACUUCUUGACGUCAUAUUACAAGGAUGAACAUACUCUCCGCAAAGUUCUCAACAAGGCCACAAAGCUAGUAUGGACGACUAUUGUUGAUCAUGCUAAAAAGUGUGUUCCUGGAAAGGAGCUUUACUCUUUCAUCGUGGAAGGCCAUGACGUUGUCCUGUUCUUCAACUGUUUCUAUAGGAUUGUUGGAAUCACAUCCAGUGACCAGUACACUCCCUUCAAGGACCUCGAUAAACCGAUGCAGGGGCGUGUGGAACAAUGGAGCAAAGUUGCAUAUGAAACUUUGACCAACCUUCAGCCUGAUUAUGUAAUGGAUAAUGGAAAACCAAGACCAAUCAACCAGAGUAUUUUCCAAGGACUUCAACAGACAAGUGAAGUGCUUUAUUGGCAUGAAAACUCAGAUUGCGCAGAGAGAAAUGUUCAUGAAGCUGAUGAUCAUCAAGGUACUUCAGGCAGUCAUUCCAAGCAGUGCACAUUAAAAAGGCUUGGAUCCAUACGAGUGACGCCAAAUGAAGAAGAUGCGUCUUUUGACAUCAGUGUUUACCUUGGUUCUGGCUCCGAACAAUACCAUGUAAGCACCGCUGCAAAUGACAUACCAGGUUCAGUCACUCUCCAUUGCCCGGCUACCGCUGCAGACGAAUUUUCAGGAUCAGUGUUAUUAAAGCAAGCAUCCUUGACAAUGGUCGAUGAGGACUAUGACAUACCUUUUGUACCCAGUGAUGCUUCACUCCAUCUGUUUGAUGCGUCUGCUUUAGCCGCUUUCACAGAUGAGCCUAUUUACUCUAGGCAUGUCAGCUUCAGAGAGAGCGACUGUCACGAGACGCUAGCCUUCAGAGCAGAAUCAGCUGUUUGA
rnacentral:rRNA from 1 species